rnacentral:rRNA from 1 species
CUUCGGAUGCUGACGAGUGGCGAACGGGUGAGUAAAACAUCGGAACGUGCCCAGUAAUGGGGGAUAGCUCGGCGAAAGCCGGAUUAAUACCGCAUACGCCCUGAGGGGGAAAGUGGGGGAUCGCAGGACCUCACGUUAUUGGAGCGGCCGAUGGCUGAUUAGCUAGUUGGUAGGGUAAAGGCCUACCAAGGCGACGAUCAGUAGCUGGUCUGAGAGGACGAUCAGCCACACUGGGACUGAGACACGGCCCAGACUCCUACGGGAGGCAGCAGUGGGGAAUUUUGGACAAUGGGGGAAACCCUGAUCCAGCAAUGCCGCGUGUGCGAAGAAGGCCUUCGGGUUGUAAAGCACUUUUGUCAGGGAAGAAAUCCUUUGGGCUAAUACCCUAGGGGGAUGACGGUACCUGAAGAAUAAGCACCGGCUAACUACGUGCCAGCAGCCGCGGUAAUACGUAGGGUGCAAGCGUUAAUCGGAAUUACUGGGCGUAAAGCGUGCGCAGGCGGUUGUGUAAGACAGGUGUGAAUCCCCGGGCUUAACCUGGGAAUUGCAUUUGUGACUGCACGACUAGAGUGUGUCAGAGGGGGGUGGAUUCCACGUGUAGCAGUGAAAUGCGUAGAUAUCUGGAGGACACCAAUGGCGA